rnacentral:lncRNA from 1 species
AAACCGCCCGGCACAUUGUCCAGCCCUAGGUUCAACAACAGUUCAUUCCAUUCUCUCAUUCAGUUCAACGUGUUUCAACCUCAAAUAACACUAGCCAGAGUUCAUUAGCUAUGUCGCACCGAAAAUCGCCUCCGACGGCGGCGGAGGGCCAAUCAACAUAAACCUCACAUCCACACAUCAUUGUUCUCUUGUCUCUCAUCUUAUCAUGUUAAUUUCUCCCAAUUUCCACUCAAAAUCCAAACCGAGCCAAAUACACUUAUGAACCCUAGAUUAUCUAAGUGAAAAUUAAAUGCAUUAUAGGCAGAAUCAAAGCCUAAUUUCUUAGGGCUUUGAUUCCUCAGGUGUCACUCUAUAUUUUGGUAAUUGAAAUUAAAGUAAGAGCAAGAGGAAACUGAAGCACCUACUUGCAUGUAGGAAACUACCCCGAAGAUCGUUGCAAGGGAGAAAAUGAGGCCGAAUUCGAAGAAAAAUAAAGAGUGUCCAGGUAAACGUCACGCUUUCGAACUCUUCUUACUUCAAUUCUCUUCCUCUUCUUCCAAUCUGUUGUAGUAUAUAGGUUGUGAUUCUUGAUGUUGUUAUGACUUGUUGUUGGCACGUUCGUGAGAGAAGAGUAUGAGAGGUCUCAACUCAAUUGUUUAGAGCUUCAAAUGUUGAAGCUCUAACAAUAAUGAUGGUGAGCGUAUGGUGAUGGUGAGAGUUUCAGAGAGAGAGAGUGAGAGAGAAUGGAUGAGGGAGAUGAAGAUGAUUGAGCAAUGAUUUUGUAUCAAAAAAUGGUUGAAGAUCGCAGUGAUUGGUGAUGAUGAUUAUUUAUAAAGUGUGGAUAGUGUAACUAAAUAGAGCAAUUGGGGCAGAGGUUAUGGUAGUGUUAAUCUCUGUUAGAAAUUUCAUGUUGAAGUUGGUUAGCUGAUAAACUCUGUUCUGCAUCAUUUAGGAACUCAGUUAUGUUUAGUUAGGGUUGUUUAGCAGUGAUUAACAUAGUUAAAUUAUGUUUAGUUAGUUUUGAAUGCAGUUAGUAUAGUUAGAAUUUCAGUUAGUGAAAAUGAGUUUAGUUAUAGAAAAAUGGUUAAUGCCAGUUUGGUGUAGGGUUGUUAAUGUGACAAGCUCGUGAAUUGGAGACUGAAUGCUAUUAGAUCAGUAUGUGGACUGUUGAAAUUGAAAUGUCAUGAAAACUUGCAUUGCUAUGAGACUUGAAGUUGAUGAUUUUGUGAAAUGCAUUAAUGAAUUAGAAUGUUAAUAACUUGUCAUUACAUCAUCUUUAAAUUGAAGUCAAUAGGUUAGUAUGUUAGCAGACUUAACUUAAUUGAAAUUUGAUUGAUAUUAUGAUGGAUAUUAGAAUGUUAUGUUAAGGUUUGUAAUAUUUUGAAAUCGGUUGUAAAACUCAUUAGUUGUUGUGACUGGCUUGUUGAUCUUGAGCAUUAAUGGAUAUGAUAAGUGUACUAGCUAUUUUAUGCAACUUGUUUUAUGCUAGUAAUGGUUGACUUGGGUUAGAAUUUGGAGAAUUAAAUGAACUAUUUUGGUUGUGUUUAUGCUAAUUGAUGAUUGUUAACUGUUGGUGUUGGAAAUGUCAACUGUCUAGAGUUGCGGAACCAAUUAAUUUGUGUUAAUGGACAUGUUAUGUUAAUUACUUAGAGACUAAAGAUGGGUGACUCAACUGUUAGAAAAUUGCAUUUAUGAGUGUGGUAGGUAUGCUGAAUUUGGUUAUGUGCAUUGUGGUUUGUGUUUGAAUGGUUUGGAAUUAAAUUUUGAUUUGGUAUGCUAAUCGUGGGUUGUUUUUAAAGGAUAGAAGAAUGCUCGGGCAUGGAUUUAAUCAAGGCAUGGGAUAAUGUAGUGAAGAGAUGGGGAUACAUCAAGAAUCAUGAAGAACAAGACUAGGGGUAGCUUGGGAUUGAAGAUAUUUUUGUAAUUAGGGUUAGGACUAGUAGAGUUGACGAAAAAGUCAAUUGUAGGUCAAAGUUGUAUUUUUUGUAGGUUUUUGGAUUUUGUACUUUUAUGAUGUAAUUGGAUAUUUGGAAAUGAACCUUGAGUGACUUUUGUAAUGAAAAAUGAAUUUCAAAACCUUGAUCUUUAAUGAAUUUCCUCCAAGCUUGAUUUUGAA